rnacentral:rRNA from 1 species
AUUGAACGCUGGCGGCAUGCUUUACACAUGCAAGUCGAACGGUAACAGGCCGCAAGGUGCUGACGAGUGGCGAACGGGUGAGUAAUGUAUCGGAACGUGCCCAGUCGUGGGGGAUAACGCAGCGAAAGCUGCGCUAAUACCGCAUACGAUCUAUGGAUGAAAGCGGGGGACCGUAAGGCCUCGCGCGAUUGGAGCGGCCGAUAUCAGAUUAGGUAGUUGGUGGGGUAAAGGCUCACCAAGCCAACGAUCUGUAGCUGGUCUGAGAGGACGACCAGCCACACUGGGACUGAGACACGGCCCAGACUCCUACGGGAGGCAGCAGUGGGGAAUUUUGGACAAUGGGCGCAAGCCUGAUCCAGCAAUGCCGCGUGCAGGAAGAAGGCCUUCGGGUUGUAAACUGCUUUUGUACGGAACGAAACGGUCUGGGUUAAUACCUCGGGCUGAUGACGGUACCGUAAGAAUAAGCACCGGCUAACUACGUGCCAGCCGCCGCAGUAA